GCACCAGUGGUGUAGUGGUAUCAUGCAAGGCUCCCAUUCUUGUGACCUGGGUUCAAUUCCCAGCUGGUGCA
rnacentral:tRNA from 1 species